rnacentral:rRNA from 1 species
UCUCUCUGAAUCUGCGAACGGCUCCGCACACCAGUUGUAAUACCUAGCACGUCCAGGGGCGGGCCGGCUCCUCCGGGGGUCGGCUGGGGCCCCACGCUAUAUGGAUAUCCGUGGUAAUUCUGAGGCUAAUACAUGGCAUCAAACCACCGGCCUCCCGGGCGACCGGCUGGGGGUAACACCCUGUGCCGGCCGCCGGGUUGGACGGCCGGAGGACGUGCGAGCACCGGCUUGGGUUAAUCGAUCAGGACAGAACGCACGUUUGGAUCUGCGUGCACUGGGGUGCCCCGCGAUACGCCGGCCGGCCGAGGAGCGAUCCUCGGCUGAGCCGGCUGAGCGCUUCUGACCUAUCAACUAGAAUGCGGUAAAAUGGGCUGCAAUGGUCGCAACGGGUACAGAGGAUAAGGGUUCGAUCCUGGAGAGUGGGCCUGAGAGAUU